CCUAACACAUGCAAGUCGAACGGUAACAGGAAACAGCUUGCUGUUUCGCUGACGAGUGGCGGACGGGUGAGUAAUGUCUGGGAAACUGCCUGAUGGAGGGGGAUAACUACUGGAAACGGUAGCUAAUACCGCAUAACGUCGCAAGACCAAAGAGGGGGACCCUCGGGCCUCUUGCCAUCGGAUGUGCCCAGAUGGGAUUAGCUUGUUGGUGGGGUAACGGCUCACCAAGGCGACGAUCCCUAGCUGGUCUGAGAGGAUGACCAGCCACACUGGAACUGAGACACGGUCCAGACUCCUACGGGAGGCAGCAGUGGGGAAUAUUGCACAAUGGGCGCAAGCCUGAUGCAGCCAUGCCGCGUGUAUGAAGAAGGCCUUCGGGUUGUAAAUACUUUCAGCGGGGAGGAAG
rnacentral:rRNA from 1 species